ACAUGCAUAACAAUUAAUCAUCUAGCUACAGAGUACAGACCUAAAUAAAGGAAGUAAAGAGAAGUGGUUUUUUACUUUUUUUAUCUUGCAGAAAAAUGGGUUCAUGGUUUGAUUAUUUUGUUUCAAUGAACAUUGGAAGCAUGACAAAGCGUCUUUUUAGUACUGAUGAUAAGCCUCAGCCUCAGCCUGAUGAGGCAUCCAACCCAGCUCCAUUUAUCAUUGUAGAACGAGACCGUCCACGGGGCCACAAUUAUAGAUCGGUAUAUGCAGCGAGUCAACAACAAACAAAGACAACUGCUGUGACCGUUUAUGUAGAACCAGUUUGUAUUCUUUCACAAAGGGGUUCUACAUAAACGGCAAUGAAAACUGAAGUUUUCGUACGUGACACGAGUAAAGAAAGUUGAACUUACCGAAGAAUGAUUUAUAGGAAGUAGACAAACUGGCCUGUAAAGUUUAGUUGCUCGUUCCUGUUAAAAUUUUAGUUUCUAUGUUAAAGUGAAUUUGUAUUCUGUUUUUUGUUUCACUAUAAGUUGUAAUUAAUUUUGUUAACAGUAUUCAGACCUU